AGUAAGCCGGGAGCUAAGGUGAGGCCGAAAGGCGUAGCCGAUGCACAUACGGUAGAUAUUCCGUAGCCGCCAAAAGAUUUAAGUAAGAGGACACCUUGAAAGGACUUGACCCGGGCGAUGGUUGCCCCGGGCGAAAGGGACCGAAAUUUAGUAGGGAAGCAAGUUUGGACGAGGGCGAGAAAAGUCUUAUGUAUAUCUUCGGCGCCCGUACCGCAAACCGACACAGGUAGAUAGGAAGAGAAUUCUAAGGCCAACGGGAGAAGGGUAGUUAAGGAACUCGGCAAAUUGACCCCGUAACUUAGGAAUAAGGGGUGCCACAGCGAUGUGGUCGCAGAGAAUAGGCCCAGGCAACUGUUUAUCAAAAACACAGGUCUCUGCCAAAUCGAAAGAUGAAGUAUAGGGGCUGACACCUGCCCGGUGCUGGAAGGUUAAGAGGAGAUGUGCAAGCAUUGAAUUGAAGCCCCAGUAAACGGCGGCCGUAACGAUAACGGUCCUAAGGUAGCGAAAUUCCUUGUCGGGUAAGUUCCGACCCGCACGAAUGGUGUAAUGAUCUGGGCACUGUCCCAAUUACCCGCCCGGCGAAAUUGUAGUACCGGUGAAGAUGCCGGUUACCCGCGACAAGACGGAAAGACCCCAUGGAGCUUUACUGUAGCUUAAUAUUGGGUUUCGAUAAUUUAUGUAUAGGAUAGGCGGGAGACUAGGAAACCGUGGCGCCAGCCACGGCGGAGUCGACGUUGGAAUACCGCUCUUAAGUUAUUGGAAUUCUAACCUGCGGCCAUGAAUCUGGCCGGGGGACAUUGUUAGGUGGGCAGUUUGACUGGGGCGGUCGCCUCCAAAAAGGUAACGGAGGCGCUCAAAGGUUGGCUCAGCAUGGUUGGAAACCAUGCUUUAGAGUGUAAACGUGUAAGCCAGCCUAACUGCGAGGAUGACGGUCCGAGCAGUAACGAAAGUUGGAGUUAGUGAUCCGGCGGUAUGAGAGUGGAAUUGCCGUCGCUCAACGGAUAAAAGCUACCCUGGGGAUAACAGGCUGAUCUCCCCCAAGAGUCCACAUCGACGGGGAGGUUUGGCACCUCGAUGUCGGCUCAUCACAUCCUGGGGCUGUAUUCGGUCCCAAGGGUUCGGCUGUUCGCCGAUUAAAGUGGUACGCGAGCUGGGUUCAGAACGUCGUGAGACAGUUCGGUCCCUAUCUGUCGUGGGCGCAGGAUAUUUGAGGAGAGCUGUCCUUAGUACGAGAGGACCGGGAUGGACGCACCUCUGGCGCACCAGUUGUCACGCCAGUGGCACAGCUGGGCAACUAUGUGCGGAACGGAUAAACGCUGAAAGCAUCUAAGCGUGAAGCCGACUCCAAGAUUAGAUAUCCCAUAGCGUAAGCUAGUAAGACCCCUUGUAGACUACAAGGUUGAUAGGCUGCAUGUGUAAGCACGGUAACGUGUUCAGCUUGGCAGUACUAAUAGGUCGAGGGCUUGACU
rnacentral:rRNA from 1 species